rnacentral:rRNA from 1 species
UAACGGCACCACGAGUGGUGAUCACGCGUAUUGGGUCUAAAGCAUCCGUAGCCGGACAGUCAAGUCAUUUGUGAAACUUCAUAGAAAACUGUGAAAAGUGCAAGUGAAACUAGCUAUCUUGGAACCGGGAAGGGUUAGAGGUACUUCUAGGGUAGAGGUGGAAUUCUGUAAUCCUAGAGGGACCACCUGUGGCGAAGGCGUCUAACUGGAACGGAUUCGACGGUGAGGGAUGAAAGCUAGGGGAGCGAAGGGGAUUAGAUACCCCCGUAGUCCUAGCUGUAAACGAUGCCCGCUAGGUAUUGCGUGUUUUUCGUGAACAUGCAGUGCCGUAGGGAAGCCAUUAAGCGGGCCACCUGGGAAGUACGGUCGCAAGGCUGAAACUUAAAGGAAUUGGCGGGGGAGCACACAAGGGGUGCAGUCUGCGGUUUAAUUGGAUUCAACGCCGGGAACCUCACCAGGGGUGACAGCAUAAUGAUAGUCAGCUUGAAGAGCUUACUUGAAGCGCUGAGAGGUAUUGCAUGGUCGACGUCAGUUCGUGCCGCGAGGUGUCCUGUUAAGUCAGGUAACGAACGAGACCCGUACCCUAUGUUGCUAACUGUUUCCUCGGAAGCAGUGCACUCAUAGGGGACCGCUGGUGACAAAUCAGAGGAAGGAACGGUCAACGUUAGGUCAGUAUGGUCCGAAUCCCUUGGGCUACACGCGGGCAACAAUGUUAGGUACAAUAGGAUGCAACACCGAAAGGUGAAGCUAAUCCCUGAAACCCUAACUUAGUACAGAUUGAGGCUUGCAACUCAGCCAUCAUGACGCCGGAAUCCCUAGUAGUCGAACGUUAGCACCGUUCGGUCGAAUUACGUCCCAUGCUCCUUGCACACACCGCCCGUCAGAUUACCAGUCG